GACGAACGCUGGCGGCGUGCCUAACACAUGCAAGUCGAACGGGGAGUUAGCAAUAACUCCUAGUGGCGAACGGGUGAGUAACGCGUAGACAACCUGCAUCUAAACUGGGGACAACACCGCGAAAGUGGUGCUAAUACCGAAUGUGGUAUCUUGAUCGCAGGAUCGAGAUAAGAAAGAUGGCCUCUACAUGUAAGCUAUCGAUUAGAGAUGGGUCUGCGUCUGAUUAGCUAGUUGGUGAGGUAACGGCUCACCAAGGCGACGAUCAGUAGCCGGUCUGAGAGGAUGAACGGCCACACUGGGACUGAGACACGGCCCAGACUCCUACGGGAGGCAGCAGUGGGGAAUCUUCCGCAAUGGACGAAAGUCUGACGGAGCAACGCCGCGUGAGUGAAGAAGGUCUUCGGAUUGUAAAGCUCUGUCGUUUGGGACGAACGUAUCCCGUGUGAAUAAUGCGGGGUAAUGACGGUACCAAAGGAGGAAGCCACGGCUAACUACGUGCCAGCCGCCGCGGUAACAC
rnacentral:rRNA from 1 species